rnacentral:rRNA from 1 species
ACACAUGCAGUCGAGCGCUCACUUCGGUGGGAGCGGCGGACGGGUUAGUAACGCGUGGGAAUAUGCCCUUCUCUACGGAAUAGCCUUUGGAAACGAAGAGUAAUACCGUAUACGCCCUUCGGGGGAAAGAUUUAUCGGAGAAGGAUUAGCCCGCGUUAGAUUAGAUAGUUGGUGGGGUAAUGGCCUACCAAGUCUACGAUCUAUAGCUGGUUUUAGAGGAUGAUCAGCAACACUGGGACUGAGACACGGCCCAGACUCCUACGGGAGGCAGCAGUGGGGAAUCUUAGACAAUGGGCGAAAGCCUGAUCUAGCCAUGCCGCGUGUGUGAUGAAGGCCCUAGGGUCGUAAAGCACUUUCGCCAGGGAUGAUAAUGACAGUACCUGGUAAAGAAACCCCGGCUAACUCCGUGCCAGCAGCCGCGGUAAUACGGAGGGGGUUAGCGUUGUUCGGAAUUACUGGGCGUAAAGCGUACGUAGGCGGAUCAGAAAGUAGGGGGUGAAAUCCCGGGGCUCAACCCCGGAACUGCCUCCUAAACUCCUGGUCUUGAGUUCGAGAGAGGUGAGUGGAAUUCCGAGUGUAGAGGUGAAAUUCGUAGAUAUUCGGAGGAACACCAGUGGCGAAGGCGGCUCACUGGCUCGAUACUGACGCUGAGGUACGAAAGUGUGGGGAGCAAACAGGAUUAGAUACCCUGGUAGUCCACACCGUAAACGAUGAAUGCCAGUCGUCGGG